GGGCCCGCACAAGCAGUGGAUUAUGUGGUUUAAUUCGAAGCAACGCGAAGAACCUUACCAGGUCUUGACAUCGUGCGCAUAGCAUAGAGAUAUGUGAAGCCCUUCGGGGCGCAUAGACAGGUGGUGCAUGGUUGUCGUCAGCUCGUGUCGUGAGAUGUUGGGUUAAGUCCCGCAACGAGCGCAACCCUUACUAUUAGUUGCUACGCAAGAGCACUCUAAUGGGACUGCCGUUGACAAAACGGAGGAAGGUGGGGAUGACGUCAAAUCAUCAUGCCCUUUAUGACCUGGGCUACACACGUAAUACAAUGGCAAUUAACAGAGGGAUGCUAAGGCCGCGAGGUGGAGCGAACCCCAAAAUUGUCUCAGUUCGGAUUGUAGGCUGCAACUCGCCUGCAUGAAGUCGGAAUUGCUAGUAAUCGCGGAUCAGCAUGCCG
rnacentral:rRNA from 1 species